rnacentral:rRNA from 1 species
GUGUCAGCAGCCGCGGUAAUACGUAGGCAGCAAGCGUUGUUCGGAGUUACUGGGCGUAAAGGGUGUGUAGGCGGCCCGUUAAGUUCCGUGUGAAAUCUCCCGGCUCAACCGGGAGGGUGCGCGGAAAACUGGGGGGCUAGAGUACGGGAUGGGAGAGUAGAAUUCCUGGUGUAGCGGUGAAAUGCGUAGAUAUCAGGAGGAAUACCGGUGGUGUAGACGGCUCUCUGGACCGUAACUGACGCUGAGACACGAAAGCGUGGGUAGCAAACAGGAUUAGAAACCCUAGUAGUCC